GACGAACGCUGGCGGCGUGCUUAACACAUGCAAGUCGAACGGUAAGGCCCUUCGGGGUACACGAGUGGCGAACGGGUGAGUAACACGUGGGUGAUCUGCCCUGCACUUCGGGAUAAGCCUGGGAAACUGGGUCUAAUACCGGAUAGGACCACUGCCUGCAUGGGUGGUGGUGGAAAGCUUUUGCGGUGUGGGAUGGGCCCGCGGCCUAUCAGCUUGUUGGUGGGGUGAUGGCCUACCAAGGCGACGACGGGUAGCCGGCCUGAGAGGGUGACCGGCCACACUGGGACUGAGAUACGGCCCAGACUCCUACGGGAGGCAGCAGUGGGGAAUAUUGCACAAUGGGCGCAAGCCUGAUGCAGCGACGCCGCGUGAGGGAUGACGGCCUUCGGGUUGUAAACCUCUUUCAGCACCGACGAAGCGCAAGUGACGGUAGGCGCAGAAGUAGGACCGGCCAACUACGUGCCAGCCGCCGCAGUAA
rnacentral:rRNA from 1 species